AGAGUUUGAUCCUGGCUCAGGAUGAACGCUAGCGGUAGGCCUAACACAUGCAAGUCGAGGGGUAAGGUUCAGCUUGCUGAACACACGACCGGCGCACGGGUGAGUAACACGUUUGCAACCUACCCUUAACUGGAGAAUAGCUCCCGGAAACGGGAAUUAAUACUCCAUAACAUUCAGACAGGGCAUCCUGUUUGGAUCAAAGCUCCGGCGGUUAAGGAUGGGCAUGCGGGACAUUAGCUUGUUGGUGAGGUAAUAGCUCACCAAGGCUACGAUGUCUAGGGGGUCUGAGAGGAUGGUCCCCCACACUGGUACUGAGACACGGACCAGACUCCUACGGGAGGCAGCAGUGAGGAAUAUUGGGCAAUGGACGCAAGUCUGACCCAGCCAUACCGCGUGAAGGAUGACGGCCCUAUGGGUUGUAAACUUCUUUUAUACAGGAAGAAAACCUGCGAUCGUGAUCGUAGUUGACGGUACUGUACGAAUAAGCAUCGGCUAACUCCGUGCCAGCAGCCGCGGUAAUACGGAGGAUGCAAGCGUUAUCCGGAUUUAUUGGGUUUAAAGGGUGUGUAGGCGGAACAUUAAGUCAGUGGUGAAAUCUUUCAGCUUAACUGGAAAACUGCCAUUGAUACUGCUGUUCUUGAGUUCAGUUGAGGUGGGCGGAAUGUGUAAUGUAGCGGUGAAAUGCUUAGAUAUUACACAGAACACCGAUUGCGAAGGCAGCUCACUAAACUGUUACUGACGCUGAGGCACGAAAGCGUGGGGAGCGAACAGGAUUAGAUACCCUGGUAGUCCACGCUGUAAACUAUGAAUACUCGAUGUGUGCGACAUAAUGUACGCGUCUGAGCGAAAGCAUUAAGUAUUCCACCUGGGGAGUACGGUCGCAAGAUUGAAACUCAAAGGAAUUGACGGGGGCCCGCACAAGCGGAGGAACAUGUGGUUUAAUUCGAUGAUACGCGAGGAACCUUACCUGGGCUUAAAUGCAGAAUGACGUACCGGGAAACUGGUAUUCCCUUCGGGGCGUACUGCAAGGUGCUGCAUGGCUGUCGUCAGCUCGUGCCGUGAGGUGUCGGGUUAAGUCCCAUAACGAGCGCAACCCCUAUUGUUAGUUGCCAGCGGAUAAUGCCGGGGACUCUAACGAAACUGCCAGUGUAAACUGUGAGGAAGGUGGGGAUGACGUCAAGUCAGCACGGCCCUUAUGUCCAGGGCUACACACGUGUUACAAUGGCCAGUACAAAGGGCAGCUACUUGGUAACAAGAUGCAAAUCUCAAAAACUGGUCUUAGUUCGGAUCGGAGUCUGCAACUCGACUUCGUGAAGGUGGAUUCGCUAGUAAUCGCGCAUCAGCCACGGCGCGGUGAAUACGUUCCCGGGCCUUGUACACACCGCCCGUCAAGCCAUGGAAGCUGGGGGUACCUAAAGUCCGUAACCGCAAGGAGCGGCCUAGGGUAAAACUAGUGACUGGGGCUAAGUCGGAACAAGGUA
rnacentral:rRNA from 1 species